GACGAACGCUGGCGGCGUGCUUAACACAUGCAAGUCGAGCGGUAAGGCCCUUUCGGGGGUACACAAGCGGCGAACGGGUGAGUAACACGUGGGUGACCUGCCCUCAGCUCUGGGAUAAGCCUGGGAAACCGGGUCUAAUACUGGAUAUGACUCCAUGACGCAUGUUGUGGGGUGGAAAGCCUUGUGCGGCUGAGGAUGGGCCCGCGGCCUAUCAGCUUGUUGGUGGGGUGANGGCCUACCAAGGCGACGACGGGUAGCCGGCCUGAGAGGGCGACCGGCCACACUGGGACUGAGACACGGCCCAGACUCCUACGGGAGGCAGCAGUGGGGAAUCUUGCGCAAUGGGCGAAAGCCUGACGCAGCGACGCCGCGUGAGGGAUGACGGCCU
rnacentral:rRNA from 1 species